CUCGUAGGCGGUUUGUCACGUCGUCUGUGAAAACCCGAGGCUUAACCUCGGGCCUGCAGGCGAUACGGGCAGACUUGAGUACUGUAGGGGAGACUGGAAUUCCUGGUGUAGCGGUGGAAUGCGCAGAUAUCAGGAGGAACACCGGUGGCGAAGGCGGGUCUCUGGGCAGUAACUGACGCUGAGGAGCGAAAGCGUGGGUAGCGAACA
rnacentral:rRNA from 1 species